rnacentral:rRNA from 1 species
ACGAACGCUGGCGGCGUGCUUAACACAUGCAAGUCGAACGGUGAAGGGAUCAGCUUGCUGGUUCUGGAUGAGUGGCGAACGGGUGAGUAACACGUGAGUAACCUGCCCCCUUCUUCUGGAUAACCGCAUGAAAGUGUGGCUAAUACGGGAUAUUCUGGGUCUGUCGCAUGAUGGGUCUGGGAAAGAUAUUGUUUCGGUGGGGGAUGGGCUCGCGGCCUAUCAGCUUGUUGGUGGGGUGAUGGCCUACCAAGGCGGUGACGGGUAGCCGGCCUGAGAGGGUGGACGGUCACACUGGGACUGAGACACGGCCCAGACUCCUACGGGAGGCAGAAGUGGGGAAUAUUGCACAAUGGGCGCAAGCCUGAUGCAGCGACGCCGCGUGAGGGAUGGAGGCCUUCGGGUUGUAAACCUCUUUCGCCAGUGAAGCAGGCCUGCUCCUUGUGGGUGGGUUGACGGUAGCUGGAUAAGAAGCGCCGGCUAACUACGUG